rnacentral:sRNA from 1 species
UGUCUUGUAAAAUUAUAAUUAGUUUUAUUCGCAAUUGUAUUUCAUUAAAUAAAACAUUCGAAACACCAAAGUAGUUUUCUGCAAAAAAUUGCUUUCCCACUCAUUUAUUUUAUAUGUAAACGACAAGCGGCUGCCAGAUAAAUUUGGAGGAAAAUCAACAGUUUUGGAUAAAAAGUAAGCACCUUAAUUACAGCCGGACUUUACAUACCCACCACCACAAAAAUAGUUGGAAACUGGGUAAAAAUAAAUACGCCUGAAAUGAGCUUUAAAAAUAUCAUCGCGCGAUCGUCUUUACGGCAACUUUGCCUAAAUAUGGUCCGAUUUAACCCUAUUAGGCGUGGAGUCUUAGCUAAGCCGGAUAGCUUUAUCAAGACAUAAUCUUACAUAGCCUGCCUAUUGUAAAACAUUAUCUGCUUCAAAUUUCAGCUCAAUACAUUAAAUUUUAAGGAUUGAAGUAUGAUUGACAGGUAGACAUGGAAGGGCAGACAUUCUUGGAAAUUUUACGACGAUCAAGAAUAUACAUACAGAGGUAGACAGAAAAAUUA